rnacentral:rRNA from 1 species
GGGACCCGCACAAGCGGCGGAGCUGCGGAUUAAUUCGUGCAACGGAAGAACCUUACCAAGGCUUGACAUAUACGAGAACGGGCCAGAAAUGGUCAACUCUUCGGACACUCGUAAACAGGUGGUGCAUGGUUGUCGUCAGCUCGUGUCGUGAGAUGUUGGGUUAAGUCCCGCAACGAGCGCAACCCUCGUUCUAUGUUGCCAGCACGUAAUGGUGGGAACUCAUGGGAUACUGCCGGGGUCAACUCGGAGGAAGGUGGGGAUGACGUCAAAUCAUCAUGCCCUUAUGUCUUGGGCUUCACGCAUGCUACAAUGGCCGGUACAAAGGGCUGCAAUACCGUGAGGUGGAGCGAAUCCCAAAAAGCCGGUCCCAGUUCGGAUUGAGGUCUGCAACUCGACCUCAUGAAGUCGGAGUCGCUAGUAAUCGCAGAUCAGCAACGCUGCGGUGAAUACGUUCCCGGGUCUUGUACACACCGCCCGUCAAGUCAUGAAAGUCGGUAACACCUGAAGCCGGUGGCCUAACCCUUGUGGAGGGAGCUGUCGAAGGUGGGAUCGGUAAUUA